ACGGCACUGCUGCAUGGCCGGCUUGGGGUCAGCUGUAUGUGGGGCUCUUGCACUAUAUAAGCCGGAAGCUCUCGAUCAGUUGGUGGGAGGCAUACAUGUCUUCUUUGCUGCUCCCAUAUUUGCAUGCUUUGCUAUCUUUGAUCCCUUAAAGCAACGGCCAGGAAGCAUGCAUUGCCCUUCGUUCCCUGCAUUGGUACCACUCCACCUUAAGGCGGUGUCGCUAUCCGGAGCUUUCUCUCCUGUAAUCUUGUCAUCUGGCUUGCACUUGCUCCACAUAAUCCCUGGGCCAUGAUCACCAGCGUGUUCUCUGUGGUAGGGUAAAGCCGGUCGCAGUGAGUAACGACGACAACCGACACAUGCAGGGCUGAUAAUCAGCUUGAUACUGAGGGAUGUCGACCAGUCGAUGAAUCGACACACACAAUGACCACUGAGAAUGUGACAUUUUUGGAUUAUUGCCAUUUUGAACUUCAUGCAUGAUAUAAUUAAUGUCUUUUGAAACACAUUAAUUGCUUGUAUCAUUUUAUCAUCGAAUGAGAAACUUCAAUUAUUCAACGUUUGAUUUGGACAUUAUUU